UCGGAUAUGGUGUAACGGCUAACAUUACCGCCUCUCAGUCCUGUGCGCGGUAGCUCGGGGUUCGACUCCCCGUAUCCGAA